rnacentral:ribozyme from 1 species
UGUCCAGUAACUCCAAUCCCUACCUCCUCGCGGUACUGGCUGGGGUACGAGUAACCUUAGGGAAGAUCGGGUAACCAACCUCGGUAGGAAAUCUGGUCGUAUGCUGACAGGGAAAG